CAGCCGCCACGGUAAUACGAAGGGUGCAAGCGUUAAUCGGAAUGAUUGGGCGUAAAGCGUGCGUAGGUGGUGGUUUAAGUCCGUUGUGAAAGCCCUGGGCUCAACCUGGGAAUUGCAGUGGAUACUGGGUCACUAGAGUGUGGUAGAGGAUAGUGGAAUUUCCGGUGUAGCAGUGAAAUGCGUAGAGAUCGGAAGGAACAUCUGUGGCGAAGGCGACUAUCUGGGCCAACACUGACACUGAGGCACGAAAGCGUGGGGAGCAAACAGGAUUAGAGACCCGGGUAGUCCCUGUCUCUUAUAC
rnacentral:rRNA from 1 species